UACAGAGACUGCAAGCGUUAUUCGGAUUCACUGGGCGUAAAGGGUGCGCAGGCGGUUGUGUGUGUCAGGUGUGAAAGCCCGGGGCUUAACCCCGGAAUUGCGCCUGAAACUACAUGACUAGAGCAUUGGAGAGGGUAGCGGAAUUCACGGUGUAGCAGUGAAAUGCGUAGAUAUCGUGAGGAACACCAGAGGCGAAAGGCGGCUACCUGGACAAUUGCUGACGCUCGAGGCACGAAAGCGUGGGGAGCAAAGGG
rnacentral:rRNA from 1 species